GGGGUUGUGGCUCAGUGGUAGAGCACUCGCCCGACAUGUGUGAGGCAUUGGGUUCAAUCCUCAGCACCA
rnacentral:tRNA from 1 species